CGCUGGCGGCGUGCUUAACACAUGCAAGUCGAACGGAGAGGCCCUUCGGGGUACUCGAGUGGCGAACGGGUGAGUAACACGUGGGUGAUCUGCCCUGCACUUCGGGAUAAGCCUGGGAAACUGGGUCUAAUACCGGAUAUGACCUCAGGAUGCAUGUCUUGUGGUGGAAAGCUUUUUGCGGUGUGGGAUGGGCCCGCGGCCUAUCAGCUUGUUGGUGGGGUCACGGCCUACCAAGGCGACGACGGGUAGCCGGCCUGAGAGGGUGACCGGCCACACUGGGACUGAGAUACGGCCCAGACUCCUACGGGAGGCAGCAGUGGGGAAUAUUGCACAAUGGGCGCAAGCCUGAUGCAAGCGACGCCGCGUGAGGGACGACGGCCUUCGGGUUGUAAACCUCUUUCAGCACAGACGAAGCGCGAGUGACGGUAUGUGCAGAAGAAGGACCGGCCAACUACGUGCCAGCCGCUGC
rnacentral:rRNA from 1 species